rnacentral:rRNA from 1 species
UACGGAGGGUGCAAGCGUUGUCCGGAUUUAUUGGGUUUAAAGGGUGCGUAGGCGGCCCGUUAAGUCAGCGGUGAAAUCCCGGGGCUCAACCCCGGAACCGCCGUUGAUACUGGGGGGCUUGAGUAUGGACGAGGUUGGCGGAAUUGAGGGUGUAGCGGUGAAAUGCUUAGAUACCCUCAAGAACACCGAUUGCGUAGGCAGCUAACUAGGCCAUAACUGACGCUGAGGCACGAAAGCGUGGGGAGCAAACCGG